UACAGAGGGGGCAAGCGUUAUUCGGAAUUAUUGGGCGUAAAGGGCGCGUAGGCGGCUUGGCAAGUGGAAGGUGAAAUCCCUCGGCUUAACCGAGGAACUGCCUUCCAGACUGCUUUGCUUGAGGCCGGGAGAGGCGAGUGGAAUUCCCAGUGUAGCGGUGAAAUGCGUAGAUAUUGGGAGGAACACCAGUGGCGAAGGCGGCUCGCUGGACCUUUUCUGACGCUGAGGCGCGAAAGCUAGGGGAGCAAACGGG
rnacentral:rRNA from 1 species